ACACGCACAUACAUUGGCUCGCUGUUGUAGGGGCCCUUGAGAAGAAGGCCGAGUAUGUCAUCUCUCAUUUCCUGUCCACUCACCCUCCAUUUCCCCCUUUCUCAGUAUUGGUUUCCUUUUCUUCUUGUGCUCUUCGUCUGUCCGAAAAAAAGAAGAAAAAAAAACUCAUGCCUGUGAGACAAGGAGCUCACUCAUACAAAGGGAGUUUGAGAAGCUAUUCUCCCAGAAGCAAAUAACAGCAUAUGAGUUUGCAACAACAUGAUGG